GCCUGGGAUAGCUCAGUCGGUAGAGCAUGAGACUUUUAAUCUCAGGUUUGUGGGUUCGAGCCCCACAUUGGGCA
rnacentral:tRNA from 1 species